CUGCCCCAGAGACCGGGACAACGUCCCGAAAGGAGCGCUAAUACCGGAUGGGCCCACUCUUUGACAUCUUAGGGUGAGUAAAUCGAGCAAUCGGCUUUGGGAGGGGCUUGCGGCCUAUCAGCUAGAUGGUGGGG
rnacentral:rRNA from 1 species